UUAAAAAAAAACUGGAAAUUUUAAGAGCAAAGGGAAGGGGAAGGGCAUUUUUAGAUAUAGGAAGAACAAUUAGUUCAAUGAAAUGGUAAAGAAAUCGGAAAUGGAAUGUCAUGUUCUAAUAAAAAAAAGCCCAGAGAGGAUCAGAGAGUAAUAAUGGAUAAUGAGGGUGAAAAGAGAAGGAAGCACUAGACUUUAAAUGCCAAACAGAGACAUUUCUCUUUAUUUGCUCCCAGAUUCUUUCCACAUGGGAAAGGCUGUUAUUGGUAGUACCUAGACAGGGGAAUAUCUGAGGGGACAAUGUGCAGACAGCUGGAUACAAGCUGAUAGAUGAAAACAGCCUUAAUUAGUUGAAAACAUCAAGGACUUGCUUUUUUUUAUUUUAAAAAGGAUAGAUGUUGUUUUGACACAUCAGUCACUUCCUAAUCUCCAAAUUCCCAUGGCAUCAUCCCAUAAGUAAAACAAAUGCAACUGAUCUAUGUGUCAGUAUUUCCAAAAAAAAAAAAAAAAAAGAUAACAUGGAAAAAUGUUUAUGGAGAAUCUGCUUCUUAUUCACUAGCAUAUUAUUCACAUUAUGGACUCCCUAUGGAUGCUGGGAGACUCGAGUCUUCUGUUUAUGGAAGACAUUGUGUGGAUCACAACAAAAUCUGGGAUGCUGAGAAGCCUCCUGCAAGAGAUCCACAAGCACACCUUUUCCCAGAAAUGGAAAUUGAGAGAAAGCAUGAAGCUAACAAUAUUGGUACAUAGAAGAAAAAGCCCAGUCAUUGGAAUAGAGUUUAGAAGGAAACACAGACAAAUAAAGAAAAAGAGGUCUACAAAUUUGAAGGGACAAGGCCAAAUUCACAGUCAGGGGGCAUAAUUAGGGUUGAAACAAGUGUCUCCAGAUGGGGCUCUUUUCAACAGCGAGGUGAUUCAGGCCAGUUCCAAUGGUCUUGUGAUGGAGAGAGCCAUCUGCACCCAGAGAGAGAAGUAUGGGGACUGAAUGUGGAUCACAACAUAGGAUUUUCACCUUUUUUGUUGUUGUUUGCUUGUAUUUUGUUUUCCUUCUCAUUUUUCCCCCUUUUUGCCCUGAUUUUUCUUGUGCAGCUUGGGAAUGGUAGAAAUGUGUAUAGAAGAAUUGCACAUGUUUAACAUAUAUUAGAUUACUUGCUGUCUAGGGGAGAGGGGAGAGAAAGGGAGGGAGAAAAAAAUUGGAGCACAACGUUUUGCAAUGGUAAAUGUU